ACGUGUUCCGCCAGAUCGUUCCAUUGAAAAGUACAUCACUUACGUAGACGGCUUGUCACCACUGCCAAUCUGGGGCCUCCCGCGCGACCUUUCUGCCAUUGACGAAUCAAGAUUCGCUCGCAGAUACGCUAGAGCCAAGAGCUACGCCACAACGUCGUGGGUUUUGGUCAACUCGUUCGAAGAACUCGAGGGCAGUGCCACCUUCCAAGCCCUCCGAGACAUCUCUCCCAAAGCAAUCGCAGUGGGUCCUCUUUUCACCAUGGUCCCCGGCUCCAACAAGGCAAGCUUGUGGAAGGAAGACACCGAGAGUUUAUCCUGGCUCGGCAAGCAAAGUCCCGGCUCGGUUCUCUACAUUUCCUUGGGCAGCAUGGCGACUCUCAGCUUCGAUCAGUUCAAGGAGUUCUCCGAGGGACUGACGCUUCUCCAGCGUCCGUUUAUCUGGGCCAUCCGACCCAAGUCGGUCGCCGGCAUGGAGCCCGAGUUCCUGGAGCGUUUCAAGGAGGCCGUGAGGAGCUUUGGACUGGUUGUGAGCUGGGCUCCUCAGGUGGACAUCCUCCGCCACCCUUCCACGGCUGGAUUUCUCAGUCACUGCGGCUGGAACUCCAUCCUCGAGAGCGUAGCAUCCGCGGUGCCCAUGCUUUGCUGGCCGUGCGUCGCGGAGCAGAAUCUAAACUGCAAGUUGAUAGUGGAGGACUGGAAGAUCGGUCUCAAGUUCUCGUGCGUGACCAUGCUGGAUCCUCCCGAGGUGAUGGCGAGGGACGAGUUUGUGGAGGUGGUGGAGCGAUUCAUGGGAACUGACAGUGAGCAUUUGAGGAUUAACGUGAAGAAGCUGAGCGAGGAGGCUCGUAGAGCAGUGUCUAGUGGUGGCUCCUCGUAUGAAAACCUGGAGAGAUUUGCUCAAGCAGUGAAAAUUUCCUAAACUUCAAUCCACGGCUAAGAGAAAACUUCAAAGCAUCUACUCUACUCAAGAAUAUACUACUCUUUCUCUCUCUCUCUGAAGAUAAGCACGCGCUUUGCGCGUAUAAUGGGUUCCAAGAUCAAUGUUGUGGCGAUUCCUUUCCCCUCUCCACUCUUGCAUCUCUGCCAAGCUCUCACUUUCAUCCUUUGGGGGAUGCUAUCUCGAAAACACGCAACCACGAGGGAAUGUGUUAGACUUUGUCAUGUGCAAGAACCCAUGGCUAAUGUGUUAAUGUAGACUCCAAGGUGAUGCCUUAUGUCAGAAACUGCUGCGAGGAAAAGAAACUAAAGAAAAACAAAGAAAAAAUAAUAAGUGUAAAGUUCUGGAGUUAAAAAGGAAUCACAUGAGGAAACUUGAUAAAAGAAUUAAACACUAAAAAAUGAAAAAACAAAGUGAAAAAAGCUGAAGAGUAAGGAACAGCUUAUAGAAAUACUAACAAGAUUGGAAGAGCUCUAGAGGCCAGUUAUAAUGGCCAUUUGUCUCAAGUUGGUCCCUGGCAUAGAGCCCGAGUUCCUGGAGGCUUUCAAGGCUCUCCUUGAAAGUGAUCAGCUUUGGAUUGGUUGUGAGCUGGGCUCCUCAACUGGAAAUCCUCCAGCAUCUUUCCACAAGCUGCGAGAGUGUAUCUUCAGCAGUGCCAAUCCUUUGCUGGCCAUGAGUUGCCAAGCAGAAUCUCAACUGCAAGCUUAUAGUGGAAGACUGGAAGAUCGAUCUUAAGUUCUCGCCCAUGAGAUAUCCUCGCAAGGUGGUGGCAGGGACGAGUUUGUGGAGGUGGUGGAGCAACUCAUGGGAGCUGCGAGUGGCAAUUCCUUUAGAUGUAAUGUGAAGGAGCUCAGCGAGGCUGCUCAGGGAGCAACAGUGAAAGAAGGCAGGAUCUUCAUAUGAAAGUUUGGACAAGUUCGUCAAGUUUCAUAAGGUAAUUUAUAUCCAAUGCCGCAGCUGGUGGCAGGACGAUCAUCGGGCAUGAGGGCGGGGCCAAUGCACAGACAGACCAACCACCAAGAGCACAUAAAGAUGAUACUUGAAAGUGUAUAGGUUGGUGGAAGUGUUAUUUUCCUUCCCAAAGAAAUAGAUGGCGUAAUCAAGAGGAGUAAAACAUUCCUGAAGGAGAACACUAGAUUAAAACCUUUGCAAAACGCACUGAUUCUUAAGCUCAGCCUUGGAGCGAUUUCAAGCUUAUCCAGAAAAGGUAUUGUGAGAAACGGCAGCACCUUCCAGAGCACUCACGAAGUAAGCUUGAAUUUUCUUUGUUCUUCGUCAAUGGGUUCUUCUACUGGUGCCGAGGGGCUCGCUCCUCACGCAGCGGUUCUUCCCAUUCCAACGCUACGCCACAUCACUCCAUUCCUCCAUCUCUCCAGAGCUCUGGCCUCGCGAGGCUUCGUCAUAACUUUCAUCAACACGGAGGGCAACCACAGGGACUUGAAGGACAUCGUUUCACAGGAGGAGAGCUUUGGCUAUGGCGGCGGCAUUCGCUUCGAGACGGUCCCGGGCAUCCAAGCGAGCGACGUCGACUUCGCGGUCCCGGAGAAGCGGGGGAUGUUGUCCGAGGCAGUGAUGGAGAUGCAGGCUCCAGUGGAAAGCUUGCUCAUCAGGAACAUGGCCAGAGACGAUGAUCUCGUUCCUCCGGUCUCGUGCUUCAUCUCGGAUAUGUUCCCGUGGUCCGCGGAAGUAGCAAGAAGGACUGGAAUCCCAGAGGUCAAGUUCUGGAUCGCCAGUGCCUCUUGCGUUUUGCUCGAUUGCUCGUUUCCGCGAAUGCUGGAGAAGGGAGACGUUCCAGUCCAAGGUAAAGCUUCUUUCUUCUUUUUUAUUUGUCCUUCUUUCGAGAAGCACUAACGUGUUCCGCCAGAUCGUUCCAUUGAAAAGUACAUCACUUACGUAGACGGCUUGUCACCACUGCCAAUCUGGGGCCUCCCGCGCGACCUUUCUGCCAUUGACGAAUCAAGAUUCGCUGGCAGAUACGCUAGAGCCAAGAGCUUCGCCACAACGUCGUGGGUUUUGGUCAACUCGUUCGAAGAACUCGAGGGCAGUGCCACCUUCCAAGCCCUCCGAGACAUCUCUCCCAAAGCAAUCGCUGUGGGUCCUCUUUUCACCAUGGCCCCCGGCUGCAACAAGGCAAGCUUGUGGAAGGAAGACACCGAGAGUUUAUCCUGGCUCGGCAAGCAAAGUCCCGGCUCGGUUCUCUACAUUUCCUUGGGCACCAUCGCGACUCUCAGCUUCGAUCAGUUCAAGGAGUUCUCCGAGGGACUGAGGCUUCUCCAGCGUCCGUUUAUCUGGGCCAUCCGACCCAAGUCGGUCGCCGGCAUGGAGCCCGAGUUCCUGGAGCGUUUCAAGGAGGCCGUGAGGAGCUUUGGACUGGUUGUGAGCCGGGCUCCUCAGGUGGACAUCCUCCGCCACCCUUCCACGGCUGGAUUUCUCAGUCACUGCGGCUGGAACUCCAUCCUCGAGAGCGUAGCAUCCGCGGUGCCCAUGCUUUGCUGGCCGUGCGUCGCGGAGCAGAAUCUAAACUGCAAGUUGAUAGUGGAGGACUGGAAGAUCGGUCUCAAGUUCUCGUGCGUGACCAUGCCGGAUCCUCCCGAGGUGAUGGCGAGGGACGAGUUUGUGGAGGUGGUGGAGCGAUUCAUGGGAACUGACAGUGAGCAUUUGAGGAUUAACGUGAAGAAGCUGAGCGAGGAGGCUCGUAGAGCAGUGUCUAGUGGUGGCUCCUCAUAUGAAAACCUGGAGAGAUUUGCUCAAGCAGUGAAAAUUUCCUAAACUUCAAUCCAAAGCUAAGAGAAAACUUCAAAGCAUCUACUCUAUUCAAGAAUAUACUACAGUUCUUUCUCUCUCUCUCUGAAGAUAAGCACGCGCUUUGCGCGUAUAAUGGGUUCCAAGGUCAAUGUUGUCGCAAUUCCUCUCCCAGCUCAAGGCCACAUCUCUCCACUCUUGCAUCUCUGCCAAGCUCUCACUUUCAUCCUUUGGGGGAUGCUAUCUCCGAAACACACAACCAUGAGGGAAUGUGCUGGACUUUGUCACGUGCAAGAACCCAUGGCCAAUGUGCUAGUGUAGACUCCAAGGUGAUGCCUUAUGUCAGAAACUGAUGCAAAAAGAAGAAACUAAAGAAAAACAAAAAAAAUAAUAAUAAGAAGAAAGAGAGUGUAAAGUUCUGGAGUCAAAAGGGAACCAUAUGAGGAAAUUUGAUAAAAGAACUAAACACUAAAAAAUGGAAAAACAAAAAGUGAAAAAAACUAAAGAGCAAGGAACAGCUUAAAGAAGAGCUCUAGAGGCCAGUUAUAAUGGCCAUUUGUCUCAAGUUGGUCCCUGGCAUAGAGCCUGAGUUCCUGGAGGCUUUCAAGGCUCUCCUUGAAAGUGAUCAGCUUUGGACUGGUUGUGAGCUGGGCUCCUCAACCGGAAAUCCUCCAGCAUCCUUCCACAGGCUGCGAGAGUGUAUCUUCAGCAGUGCCAAUCCUUUGCUGGUCAUGAGUUGCCGAGCAGAAUCUCAACUGCAAGCUUAUAGUGGAAAACUGGAAGAUCGAUCUUAAGUUCUCACCCAUGAGAGAUCCUUGCAAGGUGGUGGCAGGGAUGAGUUUGUGGAGGUGGUGGAGCAACUCAUGGGAGCUGAGAGUGGCGAUUCCUUUAGAUGUAAUGUGAAGGAGCUCAGCGAGGCUGCUCAGGGAGCAACAGUGAAAGAAGUCAAGAUCUUCAUAUGAAAGUUUGGACAAGUUUGUCAAGUUUCAUAAGGUAAUUUAUAUCCAAUGCCGCAGCUGGUGGCAGGACGAUCAUCGGGCAUGAGGGCGGGGCCAAUGCACAGACAGACCAACCACCAAGAGCACAUAAAGAUGAUACUUGAAAGUGUAUAGGUUGGUGGAAGUGUUAUUUUCCUUCCCAAAGAAAUAGAUGGCGUAAUCAAGAGGAGUAAAACAUUCCUGAAGGAGAACACUAGAUUAAAACCUUUGCAAAACGCACUGAUUCUUAAGCUCAGCCUUGGAGCGAUUUCAAGCUUAUCCAGAAAAGGUAUUGUGAGAAACGGCAGCACCUUCCAGAGCACUCACGAAGUAAGCUUGAAUUUUCUUUGUUCUUCGUCAAUGGGUUCUUCUACUGGUGCCGAGGGGCUCGCUCCUCACGCAGCGGUUCUUCCCAUUCCAACGCUACGCCACAUCACUCCAUUCCUCCAUCUCUCCAGAGCUCUGGCCUCGCGAGGCUUCGUCAUAACUUUCAUCAACACGGAGGGCAACCACAGGGACCUGAAGGACAUCGUUUCACAGGAGGAGAGCUUUGGCUAUGGCGGCGGCAUUCGCUUCGAGACGGUCCCGGGCAUCCAAGCGAGCGACGUCGACUUCGCGGUCCCGGAGAAGCGGGGGAUGUUCUCCGAGGCAGUGAUGGAGAUGCAGGCUCCAGUGGAAAGCUUGCUCAUCAGGAACAUGGCCAGAGACGAUGAUCUCGUUCCUCCGGUCUCGUGCUUCAUCUCGGAUAUGUUCCCGUGGUCCGCGGAAGUAGCAAGAAGGACUGGAAUCCCAGAGGUCAAGUUCUGGAUCGCCAGUGCCUCUUGCGUUUUGCUCGAUUGCUCGUUUCCGCGAAUGCUGGAGAAGGGAGACGUUCCAGUCCAAGGUAAAGCUUCUUUCUUCUUUUUUAUUUGUCCUUCUUUCGAGAAGCACUAACGUGUUCCGCCAGAUCGUUCCAUUGAAAAGUACAUCACUUACGUAGACGGCUUGUCACCACUGCCAAUCUGGGGCCUCCCGCGCGACCUUUCUGCCAUUGACGAAUCAAGAUUCGCUGGCAGAUACGCUAGAGCCAAGAGCUUCGCCACAACGUCGUGGGUUUUGGUCAACUCGUUCGAAGAACUCGAGGGCAGUGCCACCUUCCAAGCCCUCCGAGACAUCUCUCCCAAAGCAAUCGCUGUGGGUCCUCUUUUCACCAUGGCCCCCGGCUGCAACAAGGCAAGCUUGUGGAAGGAAGACACCGAGAGUUUAUCCUGGCUCGGCAAGCAAAGUCCCGGCUCGGUUCUCUACAUUUCCUUGGGCACCAUCGCGACUCUCAGCUUCGAUCAGUUCAAGGAGUUCUCCGAGGGACUGAGGCUUCUCCAGCGUCCGUUUAUCUGGGCCAUCCGACCCAAGUCGGUCGCCGGCAUGGAGCCCGAGUUCCUGGAGCGUUUCAAGGAGGCCGUGAGGAGCUUUGGACUGGUUGUGAGCCGGGCUCCUCAGGUGGACAUCCUCCGCCACCCUUCCACGGCUGGAUUUCUCAGUCACUGCGGCUGGAACUCCAUCCUCGAGAGCGUAGCAUCCGCGGUGCCCAUGCUUUGCUGGCCGUGCGUCGCGGAGCAGAAUCUAAACUGCAAGUUGAUAGUGGAGGACUGGAAGAUCGGUCUCAAGUUCUCGUGCGUGACCAUGCCGGAUCCUCCCGAGGUGAUGGCGAGGGACGAGUUUGUGGAGGUGGUGGAGCGAUUCAUGGGAACUGACAGUGAGCAUUUGAGGAUUAACGUGAAGAAGCUGAGCGAGGAGGCUCGUAGAGCAGUGUCUAGUGGUGGCUCCUCAUAUGAAAACCUGGAGAGAUUUGCUCAAGCAGUGAAAAUUUCCUAAACUUCAAUCCAAAGCUAAGAGAAAACUUCAAAGCAUCUACUCUAUUCAAGAAUAUACUACAGUUCUUUCUCUCUUUCUCUGAAGAUAAGCACGCGCUUUGCGCGUAUAAUGGGUUCCAAGGUCAAUGUUGUCGCAAUUCCUCUCCCAGCUCAAGGCCACAUCUCUCCACUCUUGCAUCUCUGCCAAGCUCUCACUUUCAUCCUUUGGGGGAUGCUAUCUCCAAAACACACAACCAUGAGGGAAUGUGCUGGACUUUGUCACGUGCAAGAACCCAUGGCCAAUGUGCUAGUGUAGACUCCAAGGUGAUGCCUUAUGUCAGAAACUGAUGCAAAAAGAAGAAACUAAAGAAAAACAAAAAAAAUAAUAAUAAGAAGAAAGAGAGUGUAAAGUUCUGGAGUCAAAAGGGAACCAUAUGAGGAAAUUUGAUAAAAGAACUAAACACUAAAAAAUGGAAAAACAAAAAGUGAAAAAAACUAAAGAGCAAGGAACAGCUUAAAGAAGAGCUCUAGAGGCCAGUUAUAAUGGCCAUUUGUCUCAAGUUGGUCCCUGGCAUAGAGCCUGAGUUCCUGGAGGCUUUCAAGGCUCUCCUUGAAAGUGAUCAGCUUUGGACUGGUUGUGAGCUGGGCUCCUCAACCGGAAAUCCUCCAGCAUCCUUCCACAGGCUGCGAGAGUGUAUCUUCAGCAGUGCCAAUCCUUUGCUGGUCAUGAGUUGCCGAGCAGAAUCUCAACUGCAAGCUUAUAGUGGAAAACUGGAAGAUCGAUCUUAAGUUCUCACCCAUGAGAGAUCCUUGCAAGGUGGUGGCAGGGACGAGUUUGUGGAGGUGGUGGAGCAGCUCAUGGGAGCUGAGAAUGGCGAUUCCUUUAGAUGUAAUGUGAAGGAGCUCAGCGAGGCUGCUCAGGGAGCAACAGUGAAAGAAGGCAGGAUCUUCAUAUGAAAGUUUGGACAAGUUCGUCAAGUUUCAUAAGGUAAUUUAUAUCCAAUGCCGCAGCUGGUGGCAGGACGAUCAUCGGGUAUGAGGGCGGGGCCAAUGCACAGACAGACCAACCACCAAGAGCACAUAAAGAUGAUACUUGAAAGUGUAUAGGUUGGUGGAAGUGUUAUUUUCCUUCCCAAAGAAAUAGAUGGCAUAAUCAAGAGGACUAAAAAAUUCCUGAAGGAGAACACUAGAAUAAAACCUUUGCAAAACGCACUGAUUCUUAAGCUCAGCCUUGGAGCCAGAAAGAAACGGCAGCACCUUCAUGAAGUAAGCUUGAAUUUCCUUUGUUCUUCGUCAAUGGGUUCUUCUACUGGUGCCGAGGGGCUCGCUCCUCACGCAGCGGUUCUUCCCAUUCCAACUCUAGGCCACAUCACUCCAUUCCUCCAUCUCUCUAGAGCUCUGGCCUCGCGAGGCUUCGUCAUAACUUUUAUCAACACGGAGGGCAACCACAGGGACUUGAAGGACAUCGUUUCACAGGAGGAGAGCUUUGGCUCUGGUGGCAGCAUUCGUUUCGAGACGGUCCCCGGGGUCCAAACGAGCGAGGCCGACUUCACGGCCCCGGAGACGCGGCCAAUGUUCUUCGAGGCAUUGAUGGCGAUGCAGGGUCCAGUGGAGAGCUUGCUCGUCAGGAGCAUGGCAAGAGACGAUGAUCUCGUUCCUCCGGUCUCAUGCUUCAUCUCGGAUAUGUUGUUCCCGUGGUCCACGGAAGUACCCAGAAGGAUCGGAAUCCCAGAGGUCAAGUUCUGGGUCGCCAGUGCUUCUUGCGUUUUGCUCUACUCCUCGUAUCCCCAAAUGCUGGAGAAGGGAGACAUUCCAGUCCAAGGUAAAGCUGCUUUCUUCUUUUUUAUUUUUCCUUCUUUCGAGAAGCACUGACGUCCAUAUACGUGUUCCACCAGAUCGUUCCAUUGAGAAGCGCAUAACUUACGUAGACGGCUUGUCACCACUACCAAUGUGGAGCCUCCCGGGCGACUUUUCUGCCAGUGACGACGACCCGGGAUUCGCUCGCGGAUACGCCAGAGCCAAGAGCUUCGCCACAACGUCGUGGGUUUUGGUCAACUCGUUCGAAGAACUCGAGGGCAGUGCCACCUUCCAAGCUCUCCGAGACAUCUCUCCCAAAGCAAUCGCAGUGGGUCCACUUUCCACCAUGGUCCCCGGCUCCAGCAAUGCAAGCUUGUGGACGGA
rnacentral:lncRNA from 1 species